GUGGAUUUACAGGUCUUCUGUCCUGCCUUUCUUUGCAGCUGAACCUGCUGGUGAAGGUGGUGCAGCUUCCCAAGCCACGUCCAGGACGGAGCCUCUGGGAGAUGCUGAGGGUGUGUCUGCGGGGAGGACUUCUCCAGCUCCUUUGCUGAUUCCUACACAGAAGCCUGGCAACCAUCGCAGAGGUCCUCCGAGGGGGAAGGACCUAGCUACAGGACACCAGAAACCCCAUGAUCCAUCCGAAAACAUGAGGCAAAUGCUGAAGGAAAUGCAGCAGGCAGGAGAAGAAGUGGAUGGAGAGGCUGGGCAUAAGGCGGCAUUUCCUGGAGGAAGCAGCGGUUCCGUGCCAACCUUUGCUGUAGGAAGAGAGGCGAUGCCAGGCACAGGCACAGGAGCUAAAGGUUGCUCGGAAGGCUUCUCCAUUAGCUUGGCUGCAUAAAGUUUUGAAGCCCUUGGAGUCUCCUGCAGAUGUGUCUGCAGAGAGGACUUUUCCUGCUCCUUUGCUGACUCCUAUACGGAAGCCCGGCUCCCAUGACAGGGGUCCUCUGAGAGGGAAGAACAAAGGCAAAGGACAGAAGAAACCCCACGAGCCAAACAACAUCCUGAAACAAAUCGUGACAGAACUGCACAAAGGGCAUGGGAUGGACAGAGAGGCUCUGUGGAAGGUGGCAUUUCCUGAAGGAAGGGAGGCCAUGCCAGGCACAGGCCCAGGA